rnacentral:rRNA from 1 species
UACGUAGGGACCAAGCGUUGUUCGGAUUUACUGGGCGUAAAGGGCGCGUAGGCGGCGUGACAAGUCACUUGUGAAAUCUCUGGGCUUAACCCAGAACGGCCAAGUGAAACUGUUGUGCUAGAGUGCAGAAGGGGCAAUCGGAAGUUCUCGGAUGGUAGCGGUGAAAUGACGUAGAUAUCGAGAGGAACACCCAGAGGGUGAAGACGGGUUGCUGGGCU